UACGUAGGGUGCGAGCGUUGUCCGGAAUUACUGGGCGUAAAGAGCUCGUAGGCGGUCUGUCGCGUCGAUCGUGAAAACUUGGGGCUUAACCCUGAGCUUGCGGUCGAUACGGGCAUGACUGGAGUUCGGCAGGGGGAGACUGGAAUUCCUGGUGUAGCGGUGAAAUGCGCAGAUAUCAGGAGGAACACCGGUGGCGAAGGCGGGUCUCUGGGCCGAUACUGACGCUGAGGAGCGAAAGCGUGGGGAGCGAACAGG
rnacentral:rRNA from 1 species